rnacentral:rRNA from 1 species
UUCGAGUGGCGGACGGGUGAGUAACGCGUGGGUAACCUGCCUUACACAGGGGAUAACACUUAGAAAUAGGUGCUAAUACCGCAUAAGCGCACGGUUCCGCAUGGAACAGUGUGAAAAACUCCGGUGGUAUACGAUGGAUCCGCGUCUGAUUAGCCAGUUGGUGGGGUAACGGCCCACCAAAGCGACGAUCAGUAGCCGGCCUGAGAGGGUGAACGGCCACAUUGGGACUGAGACACGGCCCAAACUCCUACGGAAGGCAGCAG